UCGUCACUGGGUCACAACCGAACGAAAAUUCCGUUACAACCCCACAAUGGACCUACGUACAGGGGCCCCCUGGGACGGGUAAGACGACAAGCAUUCUAUGCCUCGCACAUCAGCUGCUGGGGCCCACCUACAAGGAAGCCGUGUUGGAGCUGAAUGCCUCGGAUGACAGGUGCAGCUCCUGGGCAUGAAUCGCCGAGGGUUUAGCCCUGAGCCAGAGCACGUACUAUUAAUGCAAACGGUUGCGCGGUUGGGAUGCAUUUCCGCAUGAGCCUAGGAGGCAUCGAAUACAGACAGAAGUGGGGCCGAAUCUAUCGAGUCUCAAUAUGCGGUAACGGCGUUAGGAUCACGAAACCUAGGCCACGUGGCCUUUCCACGCGUGCAGUUCGAACCCGUAGAUUGCCUCCCUAGGGACGCUCCAACCCAAGCCCCCAUUUGAGCCUGUGACCGGUCUGUCCAUCGAUACGCAGAGGCAUUGACGUGGUACGGAACAAGAUUAAGAUGUUCGCUCAGAAGAAGGUCACGUUGCCUCCGGGCCGCCACAAGAUUGUCAUUCUGGAUGAGGCAGAUAGGUGAGUCGUUGACAGCGGGUACAUCCUUCCUAGGCUGUUUUAGUCAUGACAAUCUUAUUGUUCAUGAUUUAUUAUCACGAAUCUCGCCAAAAGAUGCCCAGAGCCCAUAGCUUUAACCCUCCUAAACGUGAUGGCCCCUGAGCCCACUGUCGGUAAUAGGAACGCCUGCGCCUUUGCACCUGGCAACGGCGGCAUAUGGCUCCGGUAGACGGCUCUGGGCCAUUGCUCAGCGGAGGUUUGCGGGUGGAUAUCAUGAAGUGAGGCUUUUGAUCCGCAUGUAUAAAAAAUAGGAGGCCGAGGCUUCAAUGCGCCACCAGCUCCAUAAGCUCACGCGCAUCUCCCUAGGUAAAAGGCAAUUAAAAAAUUAUGUACCUGAUACCUGAUUGUGCUCCGCCAUGUGCCU
rnacentral:lncRNA from 1 species